rnacentral:rRNA from 1 species
GUCCACGCCCUAAACGAUGACGACUAGAUGUCGGAGGGUCUGCCUUUCGGUGUCGUAGCUAACGCGUUAAGUCGUCCGCCUGGGGAGUACGGCCGCAAGGUUGAAACUCAAAGGAAUUGACGGGACCCGCACAAGCGGUGGAGCAUGUGGUUCAAUUCGAUGCAACGCGAAGAACCUUACCUGGUAUUGACAUCCACGGAACUGGACAGAAAUGUCCGGGUGCCUUCGGGAAUCGUGAGACAGGUGCUGCAUGGCUGUCGU